GCUAGGAUGCAAUUAACGAUGAUUGAUUAUUCCUUUUAUUUGUCAUGUUGAUUCCUCAACUGAAACAAUUGUUGGAUCUGUCAUUGGUGGCGCUUUGUUUGGAGCAAUCAUAUCAACCAUUGUGUCCUUCUGUGUUCGCAGAGGUGAACAGAGAAAAUGGGAAAGGAGAAAUCGAGUUUUACACAAUCUGCAAAAUCCAGCCUAUGUGCACGAUGAUGAUGUACUGACACACAAUGAUCUUGAUCAAGGAAAGAAAAAAAAUGCAUUAUACAGCGAGAUUAAUGAUGAAAUGCUAAAUCUCCCAACGUCCUCCAAUGCAACUGGAAAAAAAGAACAACAGAGCUUCAUUGAACAUCUCUCAACAGCAGACGAAAAGCAUGUGUAUAACCAUUUAUAUGAAACAGAUAAAUUAAGAAGAAGCGAUCUUCAAAAAGAUGUUACCAUUCCAGAACGGUGUUCUUCAGAAAUCGAUGUUGCCAUACCGGAACAAUGUUCUUCGGAACUGAUUGAUGAAAAAGGUGCUGAGUCAUUUAAAGCUACAGAAAUUGAAAAUUCAUCGGAAAAAGUUGCCAAAUUUGAGAAAGGGUGUGACUCUGAAAGGCAAAAUAAAAGCACCGGUCAAUACUAUGUCCUGGAGAAAUUAACGCAGUUAUCAACAUAAACAUAGCCUUAUUAAGAUGUUUAUAACUAUAAUUAGACUACAAACUAAUGCAUCAUAUUGAAUUAUUAUCCACCAAAAUUUGAAACUCAUUUUGAUUGGUUUAGUGCAUGUCAUGUGCAUAGAUACGACUCCCAGGCGCGCAGUGUUCCAUCUUCGUUGACACUCAGUGCUUGCAAUUGAGCAGCGUUUCAUCUGACUUGUUUAACUUAUUAUUAAAAUAACAAAUCAUAAGCAAACAAACUCACAUCAACUGUCUCGUUCAACUUAAUCAUUUCGAAAGUUUUAUGGCCGAUACAAUGAGCUUGUCAGCAAAUACAUUUUAUCACUGAGUGUAAUUCUAACUGAUGUUUUACAAACUUCUAUUUGCGUCAUAAAAACACAUUGAAUUGUGGACGGGUUUCUCUGUUAUUUUAUGGUGUGUGUGACCGGUCGCCAGGAGAUGCUCACUCGUCAAUGG